UCUGCCCUAGGGCCCUGCGGGGUUGGCGGGAGCACCGGCUGACCUGGCGUUAGAGGCCGGAGGCGGGGAGGCAGCCGAGGGCGCGUGAAAGGCACGUGUUCGCUCCGAAAAGUGAGCGGCUCGAAGACCCGGUAGAGUGGGGGCGUCAGACAUUCUCUAACAGUUUAAAUCCAGCUUUUCAGGUCAGUCACCGUCUCAGGGUGUUUUUGAGUUCUGCCAAAGCAUUUAACAAACUGUUUUUAUGGGGAAGAAACCCUGAGAGUUGGAAGGGCCUUUGUCGCCUCGUCCAGGUCCCGGAGGAAAAAAUUCCGAUUCUUAGAUGAAGGGAGUUGACACCUGCGGACCAGCUAGAGUGAGCCAGGCUCGUUGUUACCCUCUGAGCAGCCCUGCAGGGAAAAUGCUGUCGCCCUGUUUUGCUGAUGUGUAACGUGAGGGCCGCGAAGAUGAAUGAGAUGACUUCCCCGAGGACCUGAGACUUGCAAGUGGUUGAAUUCCCAAGUAAUUUUAUUAUUUGUGCUUCAUCAUAGGUGGGGGCAAGACUGAAGGCCGUGUAGAACAGUUUGGACUUAUUCUGAACCCUUUCUCCAGAUGUUACAAGCUGAUGGUUGGUAGGCUGAGAUGAGCCUCUCAAAGGCCUGAGACCCUCUCUCAGGCUGAUGUAAGUAACCCUCGGAGGUAAUGGAAAUGCCUGAGAAGAGAUUGAGAUACUGGAAGACUCACUGGGCUCCGGAAGGUGAAACGCCGCUCACAGAAAUAUUAAUUAAAAAAAAAUUCCUUACUGGUAAGCAUAUUUGGAUGGUGAGACUUUUCGUAAGACAAGUGAAGUCUUCUCAGGCUUAUGCCUACUAUAUUUUACACAGAAAAGUGGGGUAUGGGAAAUUUGCUGUUUUUGUCAAGGUAUCAUUUAAAAAAUAUAGGAGCAUGUGUCAAAGAUUUACCUAACCCAUUAAUUAGGGAACCAGCAGGAUGAUAAAAAAGAAUUUGAAAAACUGGUUUAUAGAGUCAGUGUAAAAACGUGAGCCAUGGCCGCAGAGCCUGCGCGUCCGGAGCCUGUGCUCUGCAACGGGAGAGGCCACAACAGCGAGAGGCCCGCGUACCGCAAAAAAAAAGAUAAAAAAGAAAAAAAAAAAGAGAAACGCGGAAGCCCAGACAAGACCUCACCUAAAGCUGUAAUCAUCCUGUAAUAUGAGCGGGUUCCCCCAGUGCUUAUGAAGGCUUUGGGAGGGGGACGUCCCAUCUGGUUAGAUCUUAGAGUAUUGACUGCAGGGGAGGGGUCUGCCUAGGAGGGGAGUUGAUCCUGUUCUGCAUGCAGAGAAUCCCUGAUACCCCCUCGUGGCCGCAGGUGCCCGGGAGGAGCCGUCCGCUGCUGUCAUGAGUCUUAGGGGCACGGUGUUGUGCUCAGUGUUGGAGCUAAAUGUUUACUUUUUAACAUUACAGAGUAGAAUCUACCAUGUUUGACACUCCUGCAGUCGUAGUAUUAUUUUAAUUUCCGCUCUUUAAACCAUCAGGUGCUGUUAUAAUGAUGUGUGAAAAGCCUGUCGUGCUCAGUCACGAGGGACAUUCUGACAUCGUUAUUUAGUUAACCAUGCAGACCGGGAGCCGGAAGCACCCGGGCUCCCUCUGUCUCACUGACACAUCACUUCUGUUGGUUGCUAUGUCCUGGUGAUCCUGCCUCCUAAGUAUUUUUUCAUUUCCCCCCCUUUUCCCCUACCACUGUCUUACCUCAGGCACUUAUCAUGUUUGGGUUACUGUUGCUUAGAUUACUGGGUUCCUAUAACAGCCACUGACCGGUUUUGCUGAUCUCAGCCCUGCAUCUGCAAUCCACUCUCUUCCUGCUUCCUGACUGAUCUCCCUACCUUGUAAACCUGACACGAUACUCAUAAUUCUCCCCUAAUCAUCCCCCGCUUGGCUGAAAAUCUCACAGUGGGACCCCUUCGCCUCCGAACAAAUCCAAACUUCUUAGCCUGACGUAUAGGGUCCUCAAGACUUGGCCCUAGCCUACGGCCCAGUUUAUCUCUCACCAGCCCCACACUUGAACCUUUUCGUUUCCGGUGAGCUUGGGAUGCUCAGUUUCUCUCUCUGUAUUUGCACGUUCUCUCAUUCCAGGCUAUCUUAUCCAGGAAGUCUCCUCUGACCCUCCACUGGGUGUGUCCCCUCCUUCUGUGAUUUCACAGGAGAUCUCCGGUGAUCUUCUCAGGCUUCUCUUUCUCAAAGUAGCUGUCACUAUGUUAUGUGUGUGAUCAAGAAAUUGAAGCACAGAGAGCCUAAGUAGCUUGCCCAGCGUCUCCCAGUUACUAAGUGGAUGACCUGCUCUGGAAGCUCAGACGCUGAACCACAGUGUUUUCUCUGUGUGAUCAGAGAACCAAGGGCAUGGAUUACGGUGAAAACAUACAUACAGAGUUUCUAAGCAAGUUGAAAGGCUCUGAGAACCUCCUUGCUUUGGAGGAUGUCCCACCAGAGUGAAGACAUUCAGAUGGAGAAGACUGCUGCCUUGGUCGUCACCUGUCCACUAAACACAGAGCGCCGUCCAGACCCCCUUCAGGCAGAGGGCUGGAAGCAGUGUGGGCACUAGCUGCCUUGGUGUGGGAAUGAAGGGACCAUGAAAACCCUUUGGGCCAGUCUCUGACCUCUGAUAUCCUUCAGCUUCCAUUCCUCUUCAGUGAAAACAAUCAGAUUGGUCUGAGAGGAGAGACCACCUUCUUGUUUUGCAGGUCUUAGGAGAGUUGAGGAAUCUUUUUUUUUUCCCAGCCUUAAUCCACGUGGCACAUGUGUAUUUGGAUGAGAAAGGGUGCCUCAGCCAGGCAUAUGCAGCCCCAUGAGAACCUGGCUUGGCGAACUCAGCUGGCCUGACUUUGGCCCUGCCCUUUGUCCCUUCGUCCAGGUGCCCUGAGAUAACACGCACCCGUGCACACCUGUGCUUGUUUCACGGCCCUCUGGUGGCCCUGAGGUCACAUAUUGAAAAUUGCAGUUCAUUCCUCAGCGUCUUCGGGAGGUGCUUAUGAGUGGUUGCCGUAGGCCAGGUGUGUCCUAAACACCAGGAGGAUGGUGGUGAACCAGAGCCUUGCUUCCAGGGAGCUCACAUUCUGCUGCAAGGAGGAUCCCAUCCAGGGCACCACGUGGCAUUUGGUCAUGUCCUGAGUCUCCUCUGGUUGGUGACAGUUUCUCAGCCUUCCUUUGUUUUUCAUGACCUUUCCAGCAUUGAGGAGUACCAGUCAGGUAUUUCACAGAAGGUUCCUCAAUUUGGAGUUGUCUGAUGUUUUGUUUAUGACUGGACUGGAGCCAUAGGUCUCUGGGGAGGAUCUCACAGAGGUGAAGUGGCCUUCUUCUCACAUCGUGUCGGGGUGCUUUCUGCCAACACAGCUUCUCACUGUGAUAGUAACCCCGAUCACUUGGUGAAGGCGGCGUUUGCAAAGUUUCUACGGUACAAUUACUACUUCCCCCUUUUCAUACUCUGUUCUUUGGAGGCAAGAACUGAGUCCAGCCUGUGCUUGAGGAUGUAGGAGGUGAAGCUUCAUGUUGUGGACAGGGAGUAUUUGCUUAAGUGAUUUGGAAUAUUCUGCAAGGAAUAUUGGCCUCUUCCCUCCCAUUUUAAAAUUUGAGCCAUCAUUUAUUUAUAUCACCAGGGUAGGCGGAAUAUUAGCCCCUCCAAAGAUGGCCACGGCCUAAUCCCUGGAGGCUGUAAGUUUGUUACCUUACACAGCAAAAGGGAUUUUACAGGUGGGACUGAGUUAGGGAUCUUGAAAUGGGAGGUUAUCCUGGUUUAUCUGGUGGGCCCAGUGGAAUCAUAGGUGUCCUUUUAAGAGGCAGGUAGGAAUUUCUGCACCUGUCUCGUUGUUCGGCUCUGCUCGCUGAUGCUCAAUCCUGUGAACUUUAGCUGCCUUGGCCUCCUUGGACUCCCAGUUCUAAUGUCUCCUCAGCUCAGCGAGACCCUGGGCUCUGACUGGGUCUCCCUUUCCGUACCAGGGUCUGGAAAAUUUCUCAAGGCAGGAAUCUGGAGGUCAUUGUUGACAUCAUUUUAUUUGUUUCCCUUCUCUCUGGGGUGACUGUCCUGUGCUACCUGUUAUCCAGUGUCUGAAAACCUCUGUUUCAUGUAUUUUGGCCCUUUUUCCAGUCAUCUCUGGUGAGAGGGUAAAUCUGGUCUCCCUUGGCCCAUUUUGCCUGGAAGUAGAAGUCUUCUUAUUCUUCCCACAAAUAAUUUUUAAUGAAUGGCUGAACUAUAAUUUAUUUAAGAAGUGUCUGUUUUUUGUGACUGCCGAAUGAUUUUCAUUGUAUUGAUGUGGAAUCAGUUAUUUAACGGGCAGCCUAUGGUUUGACAUUUGGGUCAAGUUUUAGUUUUCCUUUUUAUAAACACAUCUACGAGACUAUCUUGUAGCCACACACUGUGACCUGCAUGCUUAUUUCCUUAUGAUAUAUUUUUAGAUACAGAAGACUGGCUCGUGGGGGGUGGAGCACCUAAAACCAGUCUUGUGUUGUCAAGUCGUGCUCCAGAGAGAUGGUGCCAACUUACAUGUUGCCCACGUGUAACUUCCUCAAAGUCACCUUUUCUCUUGGCUUUUUCAUGUCAUCUUCUUUGGUACGAACCUCCUCAUAUUGGUGGGACCCUCUGUCAUCAUAAUUCUGAGUUCCAGAAUUAUAACAUCUGACACUUUGAAAAGAUGAAUAUUUAGACCAUCCCAUUAGUCUUGAUUAACCCUAUAGUAAUUACAUUUCAUAUUUCUGUGAAAAUGUGUAAUCUGAGCCAUGAAGGAAUUUAAAAAAAAAACACGUCAAUAGCUCCUAACCUCUCGGUUGGGCUAUAGACCGAAUGUUUCUGUCCCUUCCGAUGUGAUGGUGUUAGGAGGUGGGGCCUUUGGGAGAUGAUUAGGUCAUGAGGGUGGGGCCUUCAUGAAUGGAAUUUGUGCCCUUAGAAAGGGAUUCCAAGGAGCUCUCUCUCCGCCUUCUGCCCUGUGGGGACACAGCGAGAAGAUGGUCAUCUGUGAACCAGGAAGCAGGCCCUCAGCAGACACUGAACCUGCCAGACCUUGACUGGACUUCCCAGCCACCAGAACUGGGAGAAAAAGGCUAGCUGUGUGACAACAUAGCCCCCAGUCGAUGGUAUUUUGGCUACAGCAGACUGAGCAGACUAAGACAGUAAGCCCUCAAAUUAGAAACAUGUAGAAACGUGGGCCAAUAGAACAACAGCAAAGAGCAGAUGCAUUCCACCUGUCUGAUCAAACUGCAGCUGGAAGUGAGAGACAAAGCCAGGCUCUCUGCUUGGUGCGGGGAGAGCGGGGAUGGGAGAAUGUGGGGAAAACCAACAGCCCAGGACCACACUGCAGUGCUGGCAGGCAAACUGUGCCCUGUCCCUUUUCACUGUGUAUGUUUCUUAAGAAGGGUUUAUAUGUAUCUUUUUAAUUCCUAUUUUUUUUAUUGGAGUGAAAUUCACAAAACACAACAUAAACCGUUUUGAAGGGUAGAGUUCUGUGGCAUUUCGUGCACUCACAAUGUCAGGCCACCAUCGCCACCAGCUGGUUCCAGGACGUUUUCAUCACCCUGAAAGAAAACCCCAUUAAGCAACCACCAGUCUGCAUGUGGUCUCUGUGGAUUUACUUCUUCUGGAAACUUCAUACAAGUGGAAGCGCACAGUAUGCUUCUCACGACCGGCUUCUUUCACCAAGAAUAAUGUUUUCAAGGUUCAUCCGUGUUGUGACAGCAUCAGAACUUCACUCCUUUUCAUGGCUGCAUAAUAUUCCAUUGUGUGGAUGGACCACAAUUUGCUUGUCCAUUCACCUGCUGAUGGACAUCUGAGUUAUUUCCACCUUUUGGCCAUCGUGAAUAGUGCCGCUAUGUACAUUAACAUACAAGUAUUUGUUUGAGUAUUGGUCCCUAUUUUUAACCCAAGUGGGGACAUUAUAUUUGCCUCGAUACUUCCCACAUUGCAGCUUUGGCUCAACUGUCUUGCUCAGGGGUUCUCAGUACUGUAGGCACAUCACCCAGGGAACUUUUAACAAAUGUAUGCUGGGACCCCACCCCCAAACAAUGACAUCAAGUCUUUGAAAGCUCCCCAGGUGACUGUACCUGGUGGCCAGGGUGGAACAGCAUGGGCCCCUCGCCCAGCGUUCUGGGUUUACCAUGCAGCAGACUCACCUGGAGGCCUUGCGAAAACACAGAUUUUUGAGAUUCUGUCUCGGUAAGUCAGGGGUGGCACACACACGUUUGUAUUUCCAGUAAGUUACCAGGUGAUGCCGAUGCAGGAGCCAUGCUUUGGAAAUCACUGGCCUCUUGCCCAUUAGAACGAGGUGGGGGCAUCAGGGUCACUGGGAAGGUCUGGCAAGUCCUUCCCGUCUUUCAUGCUUUGCUCUGGUUGGCAAAGGCAGCAUCUGUAUUUUAGAAACUUCCCAGCUCACUUUGCUCACCCCCUCUCCUCCCACUUGCAGUUGAGAACCAUCCUUCGAGCUUCCAUGUAUUUCUGGAUACGGCUUCUCCAUCCAUCCUGUUUCCUACCCCUACCAGCCAUGUAAGCCCUCACCCUUGUAUUCACGUUGUUCUUCCGUCUAAAACGCCUUCCUCCUUCUGUUGUUAUGCUUUAGUGGGUGUCUUUCACCCACUAAAGCAUCACCCUGAUAACUUCUCUGACAUGCUCCCCAGUCCCUGAAUUCUCGUUGUAUCUACAAGGCUGCGAGGCACUAGGCUGUAGAACACAGCGUACUGUUUUCAGUUAUUCACAGAUUGGUUCAUCUGGGCAAUGAGUUGCUUUGUGUUUCUUUCAUACUCUCCUUGUGCUAUGUACUUAUUAGGACCCCAGUAUAAAGGAGGAAAAGAUGUUAGAGUAUUUCUCUAGGAGAGCAUUUGCCCAGUCGUCCUGUUAUACAAAGAUUGCUGAGUGAGUGACCUUGAAUUCUACCCAAGGGGCCUGGUUACCGAAAUGCCUUGUCGCAAGGCAACUUGCCUACAAAAGGCUCCACAGCACAGAUACCAAAGGCAGGGUUUUUGCAGUGGCCAGCUGUGAUACUAGGUCUACUUUUUCUACAUACAAACAGUGCACAUUACUAAUUAAAUAAUAUACAAUUUAGAAUUGUUAUUUUCCUUGGAAACCACGCAGUAUCUCCCACAGGGCAAUUAGGAGAAAAAUCCCUGUUUUUCUCAGAAGCAAAUUGGAUAAAACAUAAAAUGAGGUGUCAGGUGUGGUGAUACCUAAAGCCUUGAACUUGUUCUGACUUUUGUCUAUGUCCACUCACUGGGCCUGUAGUUCUCACCUAGAAUUUUACGUGCUGCCCAGCUAAUGACGUUGAGAAGGGCACUGUGGAUGAAGCUCUGUCAGGGGUCGGCAGACUGUGGGGCCUGGGUCAGAUCUGGCUCCCACCCCUUUUUAAUUUUAUUUUAUUUUAUUUAUAUUUUUGGCUGCAUGGGGUCUUAGUUGUGGCACGCGGGCUUCUCUCUAGUUGUGUCGCAUGGGCUCCAGAGCACGUGGGCUCUGUACUUUGCGGCGCAUGGCUCUCUCGUUGAGAUGCAUGGGCUCAGUAGUUGAGGCGUGCAGGUUUAGUUGCCCCAAGGCACGUGAGAUCUUAGUUCCCCGGCCAGGGAUUGAACCCGCAUCCCCUGCAUCAUUGGAAGGUGGAUUCUUUACCACUGGACCACCGGGGAAGUCCCUCCCACCCCCUUUUGUAAAUAAAGUCUUACUGGAGCGGUCCCAUCCAUUUGUUUACCUAGUGUCUGUGGUGGUUUUCUCUGUACAAAGGCAGAGUGGAGUAGUUGCAACAGAGACCGUGCAUCAGUCUGCUGGGGCUGCCAUAACAAGCAAUACAGACUGGGGGGCUUAGCUAUAGCGUUAUCUUCUUACAGUUCUGAAGCCUGAAGUCUGCAGUCCAGGUGGCAGCAGGGCUGGUUUCCUCUGAGGCCUCUCUCCUUGGCUUGUAGACGGCCGUCUUCUUCGUGUCCUCACACGAUUGCCCCUUGGUCUGUGUGUGUCUCUCUUCAUGUGAGGGCAUCAGCUGUAUUGGAUUAGGCCCCUGCCUAAUGGCCUCACUUUACCUUAAUUACUUCUAUAAAGACCCCCAUCUCCAAAUAGUCACACUCUAAGGUAUAGGGUUGAGGCUUCCACACAUGAAUUUGGUUGGGGGCACGAUUCAGCCCAUUAUAGACCGAAUGGCCACAAAGCCUAAAAUACCUGCCAUCUGGUCCUUCACAGGAGAAGCUGUUGACCUCUGUGAUACACUUUGAUUUCUCCUAUAGAAUACAGUGAAAUACAACUCCAGAUGAAACCACUGGAGUUCUUCUCCUCCCUUCUCUCCAUGAGCAGCGUUGGUCACUGUGACAGUGUCCUGGGCCACGCUGCCACAUCUCUGAGAAGAACUUUAGUGAAUCCGUUCCCAUCAGAGACCCCAGAGCCACAGCCGUGCUGUAAUGAGCUAAAACCUCCACCUUCUGGAAGAACCGUUAUUUCCUUACACCUGCUGAGGCAGGAGAUAGAUGGGGUCCAGGCCAACUGGCCUCCUGGUCACACCUCCUGGGGGGAGGAAGAAGGUGGGCUCCAGGUCAGACAUUCGUUACCAGCCCCCCGUUCACAUUUCCUGAGGCAAGAGACAAACGGGCUCCAGGGUUUAUGACUGGACUCCUGUCUAUAUUUCGAAAUCUGCACUUUGAUAUGAAAAACAGCAACAGGAAUAGGGUAGAUAACCAGACAUUGGGCACUUUCACAGCAGGGACAGAGAGGGGCUAAACCCUGUUGAAAGAUCAAGAGGUUGUACAUUUCCCAUCCUUGGGGCGAGGGAGACAUGGCACGUGUGCAGAAAGGCUCCUUGGGGGUCAAAAAGGCAGGGAUGCCAGACCACAGUAAGUCUGCUGUCUCCCCCCAGAGGCCUUUGCAAUGAAAUCCAUCUUGAUUGAGGGGUGCGUGCACACCCAGGGGAGGGUCCAGAGACAAAUUAGCCACGGGGUCAAAACAAUAUGACUGGCCAAGGAGAAGGCAAAGACCUGGAAGACUGCCCCCUUUAAAAGGAUUUAAACCCCCCAGAGGCACGACUCUCGCGAUGCUCUCACUGAGCUUGUCCGUGCGUCUCUCUGCAUGUAUUUGCUUUUCUAAUAAACAUUUUACUUUCUUCUAUACCUUCCGUCACCUUGUCAGAUUCUUCCUUUCAAGAUAGGCAAAGGACUGGGGGCUCAGAUUCUGACUGCUGGCCCCGUGCUCUAGCGGUUGAGAUCCUGGUUUCCAUCCAGGUGACCUGGGUUCGAUUCCUGGUCAGGGAGCUAAGAUUUUGCUUCCAGCUACUGCUCGCUGCUGCUUGCUGCAAGCUGCCGCGUGCUGCCACCUGCGUCUGAAAUCACUAGAUCCCUUUUUUUUUUCAACUUCCACCACCAGCAUUAGCAUUGGCCCCUUGGGGGAGCUGUUUCCAUCGGAGAAGUGAACUUCUUCUCCCUCAUGAUGGUUGGCUGAGUGUGCCAAUGAGAGAGAGAAGAGCAAAGUGGUUCCUCUGUAGCUUCUGCUACCCAGAUGGGGCCCCAGAAAAAAUCCCCUGUUGUUCACAGGACGUAGAGAACUGUUGGAGAGAACUCAACACUGUGUUGCGAACUAAGAAACUGACAAGCUUCCUCCAUUAUUAUCAUUCGAGAAGUAAUUCAUCUGGGCCCUGGUCAGGGUAGGUCCAUGAGAGACUCAGCCGUGGCAUUCUAAGGCGAAGUUUAAGAAUCUAGGUGAACACUCCUAUUAUUUUCUGUUUCCUUUGGAGACUGAGAUACGUUAGGUCUCCAGCUGGGAUGGGGCUGCUCUCAGGGCCCGUGUCCCAGUAGAGACUCUAUGCGUCCAAACCUCCUCUUUCUGCUGAAGAGGAAACCAAAGCCAACAAGUGAAGGAAGAACUGAGGGAAGGUCACGUCAGAUUGGACCUGACCCUGGGCUGGCGCCUCCCCUCUGCUCUGUCCGGUGUCCCUGGAACGUGCCCUCUGGCCUGCUGUCCUCUGAGGCCACAAAGGGUCCCCUGGGCAAAGUCACUCGUUGCAGGAAUUUGGAAGCUGGCAGAGUGACAGUGUCGUGGUGGAGUUAGGUCAGAGAUGGAGAGGACUGUGUGUCUGUUGCGACAUGAAGGGCCUUCUGAACGCGGGUGGCAGCCCGGGGCACUGCAGUCAAAAUGCAAUGGAACAGGUCCAAGGGAGCUGGUUUUUGCAGGUCAGAAGCGUGAAUUUGCUGGAAGGACAUUUGCAGAAAGAACAGGUGCUGUGGUGCUCCAGCGCUCCCAAGCUCUCCUGUAAGGGCCGAGAAGAGCCGCAGACAGUGGGGCCAGCUCAGGGCACCAAGAACCAGGCAGCAGGACACUCUGGCCUGCACAGCACACAGCUUCAAGGUGGAAUAGAGAUGGGGCCGAGAUGGACAUUCACACGGCCAUUCAUUCAGCUGUUGAGCUCCUAUUGUAUGCAAAGUCCUGGAGUUGUCCUGCUGAGCGCAGCCCUUUGUAGCUUUCGGAAAAGGGAAGAAGGCAGACGUUGAUGAAAUCAGCUCAGGAGUAAAUGGAAAAUCAGGUGGUGAUCGAGGCCCUGGAGGAAGGGUGGGUGCAGGGUGGAGACUAGAGAAAGGGACCCCCCUGAAACAGCGAGGAUACCGAGAGAGCGGUACAAACUGUAGCUGCCGCCUGGACUGAGCCUCCCCUAAGGGGUCUGUUCCCAAGGAGUGCUGACUGCGAGGCGUGUGGAAAAUGCCGAGCGUUUGUAUGAGAAAUGGGAUCCCAGACCCAGAAGGGGCUUCAGUGUCUUCUGAUCCAAUGUCCAUCCAGCUCCAAGCGACAGUCAUCUCUACAGCAUCCCUAACGGGGGUUACCCCGUCACCUCCAGGCACGGGGAACAGAACACUGUGUCACUGUUCUCUUAGGCUUCUUGGGACACAGGUCAGGAAGUUGGGGACAAAUACUUGGCUGGGACAAAAGCAGUCCGAGAAGAGAGAAGUGAAUGCUCUGAGCUGGAAUCCAGGCCUAGGGGUACCCGGGACAGCGGAGCCAUGAAAACGCACAUUCAGAAAACAAACCGCUCUGAAGCUGGCGCAUCGCUGCCUUUUGGGAAUGCCAAGGAAACGCCACACAAGCGGACCAGGGUACAUUUGGGAUCUCACGAAUUCCCCUCUCCUCCCGCCACUGAGAUUCCUAGCCUAGUGUUUAAUUGAGAAUGAUGUAUUCAAAUCAGUUCCAUGCUGUGUUGUGCUUAUUUUUAUUAUUAUUAUUACAUAUUCGUGUUUUUAUUCCUAUCGUAAAUAUUUCUAGAAGUGGGUUAGAAGUUAUGUACACUUCAAUUUUAAUAAAUUAUACAAGUGGUGUACUUACUUUUUUUUUUUUUUUUUGCUGUAUGGGGGCCUCUCACUGCUGUGGCCUCUCCCGUUGCGGAGCACAGGCUCCGGACGCACAGGCUCAGCGGCCAUGGCUCAUGGGCCCAGCCGCUCUGCAACAUGUGGGAUCCUCCCGGACCGGGGCACGAACCCGUGUCCCCUGCAUCGGCAGGCGGACUCUCAACCACUGCGCCACCAGGGAAGCCCUGUACUUAUUUUUGGUAUCAGUAGAUGCCAUGGUGGUUUGACAUAUUUGAUGCCAAGAGCAAA